UUGAUGGGGCUCAGGUGGAGAUUGUUCACACGCCAGCAGGUAGCAAAGGUCAGCUGAGGCUUUGCUUCCUGCUUCCCUUGGCUAGCUCAGUCCAGCCAUGGGAUGGAGAAGGGUCGGGGACUUUCUGAAACUGUGUGCUCUGAGGCACACCCUCCUCUGCGGGACACCACCCUCCCAACCCACCUACUUCUGUACCCCUGGACUCCAGACGGUGAAGGAGCCAGCUGGCACCUCCAGCAGACAAAGGCUCCCGCUCAGCCUGGCUUGCCCGACCCUUCCAGGCGCUGGACUUCGAGGCCCUGAUUUGCCGCCUGGUGCUGGUAAGGAACACGGAACUAAGAAGCCACCACCCAGCGGAAGAGUUUGGUAAAGGUCAAAAGGAGACACCACGUGUCAGACCACUUCCCAGAAUCCUUCUCACUGGCAUCCAUCUUGGCUGAGCAAUGCGUGCACCACCAGGAAGGACUCUGAGUCAGAAUCAUCUGUCAGAGACAACCCGGAAACUAAUCCCAUCACCACAAAACCUGAGAUUGGGAGCCACAUAGCAGAGCAGUUCUCCCCGGUUCUCUUACCCCACUGCUCUCCACCAGGGUGCCCCUUCACAAUAAAAUCCCUUGCUUUGUCUGCA